rnacentral:rRNA from 1 species
ACUGCUCAGUAACACGUGGACAACCUGCCCUUAGGUCGGGUAUAAACCCGGGAAACUGGGUAUAAUCCCCGAUAGAUCUCGGCUGCUGGAAUGCACCGAGAUUGAAAGCUCCGGCGCCUAAGGAUGGGUCUGCGGCCUAUCAGGUAGUAGUGGGUGUAGCGUACCUACUAGCCUACGACGGGUACGGGUUGUGAGAGCAAGAGCCCGGAGAUGGAUUCUGAGACACGAAUCCAGGCCCUACGGGGUGCAGCAGGCGCGAAAACUUUACAAUGCUGGCAACAGCGAUAAGGGAACCUCGAGUGCCAGGUUACAAAUCUGGCUGUCGAGAUGCCUAAAAAGCAUUUCAUAGCAAGGGCCGGGCAAGACCGGUGCCAGCCGCCGCGGUAACACCGGCGGCUCGAGUGGUAACCGUUAUUAUUGGGUCUAAAGGGUCUGUAGCCGGCCGGAUAAGUCUCUUGAGAAAUCUGGCAGCUUAACUGUCAGGCUUUCAGGAGAUACUGUCUGGCUCGAGGCCGGGAGAGGUGAGAGGUACUUCAGGGGUAGGGGUGAAAUCUUGUAAUCCUUGAAGGACCACCAGUGGCGAAGGCGUCUCACCAGAACGGACCUGACGGCAAGGGACGAAAGCUAGGGGCACGAACCGGAUUAGAUACCCGAGUAGUCCUAGCCGUAAACGAUACUCGCUAGGUGUCGGCCACGGUGCGACCGUUGUCGGUGCCGUAGGGAAGCCGUGAAGCGAGCCACCUGGGAAGUACGGCCGCAAGGCUGAAACUUAAAGGAAUUGGCGGGGGAGCACCACAACGGGUGGAGCUUGCGGUUUAAUUGGAUUCAACGCCGGAAAUCUUACCGGGACCGACAGCAAUAUGAAGGCCAGGCUGAAGACUUUGCCGGAUUAGCUGAGAGGUGGUGCAUGGCCGUCGUCAGUUCGUACUGUGAAGCAUCCUGUUAAGUCAGGCAACGAGCGAGACCCGUACC